UCAUCCAAACAUGUGAAAGA
rnacentral:snRNA from 1 species